AUGCCCUUCCGCAACAUGAGAACAUUGCAAAAUGGCCCGUGGUUGCGCCUGAUGGAAGAAUAAUCAUAUCUAAUCAUAUCUAUUUGGCUCCACGCGAUCAGCUGUCUGCUCGCAGUCAGUCUGGAGAAUACGUUUUCUUCGCGACUAUUGAAUCGUCUGUACGUAGUCGGUGACCCAGGAGGUGAAGAUAUAUCCAUAUGCGCUACCUGCUCCCUAAUAGGCACGAAAUACUUGCACUUGAUUCCUGUUUUGAAUAAAAUCAAUAAAAUACAGUUCAUCUCGGGAAAAUAAAAGUCUUGAAUAGUGCAUGGAGUAGGAUGUCAAGAAAAAUAUAUAUAAGGAAUACAAGAACAAGAAUGUGCUGCAGGAUAAUC